ACGGAAGGCAGCAGUGGGGAAUAUUGCACAAUGGGGGAAACCCUGAUGCAGCGACGCCGCGUGAGUGAAGAAGUAUUUCGGUAUGUAAAGCUCUAUCAGCAAGGAAGAAAAUGACGGUACUUGACUAAGAAGCCCCGGCUAACUACGUGCCAGCAGCCGCGGUAAUACGUAGGGGGCAAGCGUUAUCCGGAUUUACUGGGUGUAAAGGGAGCGUAGACGGUAAUGCAAGUCAGAAGUGAAAGCCCAAGGCUCAACCAUGGGACUGCUUUUGAAACUGUAAUACUAGAGUGCAGGAGAGGUAAGUGGAAUUCCUAGUGUAGCGGUGAAAUGCGUAGAUAUUAGGAGGAACACCAGUGGCGAAGGCGGCUUGCUGGACGAUAACUGACGCUGAGGCUCGAAAGCGUGGGGAGCAAACAGGAUUAGAUACCCUGGUA
rnacentral:rRNA from 1 species